CUCGACGUUGUUGCUAUGGACUGUUUAAUUAUCUGUCGCGUUCAUUUCACACGUACGAAAACUGGAGCGCGUGCCCUGUCGAACUUAACUCAAAAGGAAACGACGAUUACUUUUGAAAGUUCAAAAUGCCACUACGUGCCUCGACUAAGUUUGCUAUAGUUGUUUUUAAAAAUUACACGCUGAAGAACGGAAAACAAGCCGUCGAACUUGUGCCACGCUCUUGGCUGAAACUAUGAACAAGGGAUGCGACGACUAGAAAAAUCAUUCGAGGUGGGAGAUAUUUCGUGCUUGAAAGUGCUGAAGCUGAAUUCGAGCUUGAUGAAUUGCCGCCUCCACCUGUGCUUGAAAAAUCCGCCCCGACAAACUCCAGAAAAAGAGCCAAUGAAGUUGAGGUUAUCGAGACUGAAGAGCCAGUAAAUAAAAACAGUCGUGCACUUAUAACGAAGAAAGACAGAAGAGCUAGAGACGAAUGCAAAAAAAUAAAUCGUAUCAAGGCCAACAUACAAUACGAUUUGCCCGAGUUUUUAAAGAAUCACAACAUGAAUAUGCCAAUUUUUGGAGAACCUGAGGCUGCAGGGGUGCAAAUUCUUCGGACGUUCCCUUUUUCUGUGCAAGAGGAAUUUCAACAAUUCGAUGAGACUUUAGCCCUAGAUGAAGGGAAGAAAACGCAUUGAAAACUAAAAUGGUUCGACUGGCCAUCAUUCGUUUCAAGGUAGCGCUUGGGAAAAUUUUGAAGUCCAUUAUCACGAAAGUCGUCCAAACUAACUAUUCAGCUUGCGGAAGAAAAAUUAAGGGCCAGGGAAAGCUGAAUUUCAGCAGUACCAACACCUACAAAAUAUUGACCGAUGUACUGGUGGAAAAAUUUGCUGUAAGAUUGGAAAGCAUAACAAGUUAUGCAUCACGCUGUUUUUCCGGUGCACCUGAUAGAGAGAAGGGAAAGCAAAAUCGCAGUUCUUAAAAAACAUCAGUUGAUGAACAUUAUUUUGUUAAAAAGUUAUGUUUAUGCUUAUGUUAUCGUUUUCUACGAAGAUUUAAGGUUAUUUAAACCAUAUAUGUAAACAUGAUUCAAUAAAUCCAAAUCUUACUAUAAAA